GGACUGGAAGCUUUGUGGAAAGAGUUUAUAACGGUUCAAUCUUUUCUCCACCCCUGGCUGAGAGCCCGGGAUUAUAGGAGGCUGUACGGAAGAACCAAGCUGCUAGCAGCGCAUCGGACAACGAAAUUAGCCAGUACGCCAUCCGCUGGUUCAACCUGGCCUCUGACCGUGGAGGUGGCUGCAAAGAACGUGCCAUGGCCAGAGAGGCAUUAACCGUGGUAAAUCUGUAUUUACCCUCUUUUUGAAACGCUCCAUUUUAGCACCUGUCUCGUUAAAGCCCCCAUCCUGAAAAAGCCCAGUCUGCUCUGAUUGGCUUGCGAGAAAAAUAUGUCACUGCUUUGCAAAGAUGGUACUUAACCUUAAGCCACACUGUUGCUAUUAUUAGAGUUUAAUACUUCUGCAUUCAUUUAAAAAUAACACCUGUGUCAUAGGUGUGUGGUUACUGUACAGUUACUAGAAAUUAAUUGUCACCUGCAAGUCAACUGGAGUGAAGUUUCUUGUUCCUACAGUUGUUAAAGACAGAAAUGAGCUGUAAAAUGUGUUUAUUAGAUUGAUUGUUAGUUUGGCAAUUAUCUACUUUGUUUUAAGUUUCUGUCCUCUCUUUUUAUCUCAAACAUUUCAAAUAAAAUUUAAAAUGUGUAUUUUAAAUAAAAUUUAAAAUGUGUCACUCAUCCGUUCUAUCACUUUCUUUGUAUUUUCUGUGUAGGACAAAUAGAAACAGUCUUUGUAACAGAGUGUAGUUUUGACUGUCCAUGCUUUUUAAAUUCAAAAGAAAAAAGUAAUCGAGUUUAAAAUGCAAGGAAAAAGAAAACGAAAGUAAAACAAGAAAUCUUAGUGUACCUUAGUGAUAUACAAGUCACUAUUUGUUAUACAUUAUAUAGACCAGCUCCUGCCAUAACAAAAAAAUCCACAUUUUUGUAUAUGUUUUGUGGGUAUAUAGAUCAAGGUUAUGAAAGAGGCCAGAACUAAUAAAUGGAGCUGGCCCAG